rnacentral:sRNA from 1 species
AUUGUGUGGUCGUCUUUGGAAUAUGGUUUUGCUUUUCCUUUACUUGCAUGUGAAAUAGUUACUCUGAAUACUUAGAGCUAUUUAAAAGCUUAUUACUUAAUAUUUAUGGAGUCAGUUGGUAGAAAUGUAUGAUACAGUUUCUGUUAUCUUUUGUGUUUUACCUUAGAGAGAAUGAAUGGAAACCAGCUGAUAUAUUCAGUACUUUGGGGGAAAGGGAACGUGAUAGAAGUUUGUUGGAAGCAAAAAAAGCCCAGUGGAGGAAAGAGCUAGAUGAACAGGUUGCUUUAAAGAAGAAAGAAAAAGAAGUUUCUGAAAAAUGGAAUGAUCCUUGGAAAAAAUCUGAAAGUGAUAAAAUAAUAUGGGAAAAACAUCAAAUUCUUGACCAAUCUAGGCUCUUCAAGCAUUCUAUCACAGUCUCGUAGCCAGGUUAUGGUGGUCCAAGCUGAUGGGUCAUUCACUUCUUAGAGCUAGUCAGACUUUAGAGGAAACAGUACUGCUGGAGCACGCUUUCAGUGCUGUGAAACAAGAACUGCAGAGAAAAUGGAUUGAAGAGUUGAAUAAGCAAAUAGAAGAUGA